GACGAACGCUGGCGGCGUGCUUAACACAUGCAAGUCGAACGAAAAGAGGGAAAGAGCUUGCUCUUUCCGGAAUUGAGUGGCAAACGGGUGAGUAACACGUAAACAACCUGCCUUCAGGAUGGGGACAACAGACGGAAACGACUGCUAAUACCGAAUAAGUUCCAAGGGCCGCAUGGCCCAUGGAAGAAAAGGUGGCCUCUACCUGUAAGCUAUCGCCUGAAGAGGGGUUUGCGUCUGAUUAGCUGGUUGGAGGGGUAACGGCCCACCAAGGCGACGAUCAGUAGCCGGUAUGAGAGGAUGAACGGCCACACUGGAAUUGAGACACGGUCCAGACUCCUACGGGAGGCAGCAGUGGGGAAUCUUCCGCAAUGGGCGAAAGCCUGACGGAGCAACGCCGCGUGAGUGAUGACGGCCUUCGGGUUGUAAAACUCUGUGAUCCGGGACGAAAAGGCAGAGUGCGAAGAACAAACUGCAUUGACGGUACCGGAAAAGCGAGCCACGGCUAACUACGUG
rnacentral:rRNA from 1 species